UUAGCAGAAACAGUUGUUUGUUCUAUUCAUAUCAUUAAUAGAAUAUUUCCCUACUUACAAGUUUUCCAACAUCAAAUAAUGCUUUGUUUAUGUACACUUGGAUGUUGUUUAAUGAAAUUGAAAGUCACAAUUUCUAAAAAUAAACCAUUAUAGGUCAAGGUACGGUCUCCAACACCAGGCCUAGGCUCACAUCGAACAGAAAGCUAUAAAAGGCCCCAAAACUUACUAGUGUAAAACCAUUCAAAUGGGAAAACCAAUAGUCUAAUCUAAAUAAAAAACGAGUAACAAGAAACACUUAUGAACCACAUAAACAAACGACAACCACUGAACAUCAGAUUCCUGUAUUCCUGGAUACUCUGCAUUUAUUUUACUUUUUCAAUAACAUAUACAUGUAGUAAAAUGGCUGAUAGACCCCAGGCCUCCCCUAAAAUAUUGAAAAUUAUCAUUCUGUAUUGACAAUGAUAUGUUGGUGUAAAUAAUAUACAUGUAUACCAAUCCAGGCUAAUACACUCAAGGUGUAAGUAAUAUAUACCAAUCCAAGCUAACACACUCAAGGUGUAACUAAUAUAUACCAAUCCAGGCUAACACACUCAAGGUGUAACUAAUAUAUACCAAUCCAGGCUAACACACUCAAGGUGUAACUAAUAUAUACCAAUCCAGGCUAACACACUCAAGGUGUAACUAAUAUAUACCAAUCCAGGCUAACACUCAAGGUGUUACUAAUAUAUACCAAUCCAGGCUAACACACUCAAGGUGUUACUAAUAUAUACCAAUCCAGGCUAACACACUCAAGGUGUAACUUAAAUAAUAUAUACCAAUCCAGGCUAACACACUCACGGGGUAUUCAAUACAUGUUUUACAUCAGUUUGCUUUUUGGAGGUUGGUAACUCAUUUUGAUGUGAAGUGUUAACUCUUGUUAGAAACUGCACAUACUGAAAUGUCUCCCCUACUUUACUAACCAAUGAUAUUACGUUGAUAGUCCUAAAUAUAAAGUUUUACUACAACUAUCACAUAAACUUAACAUGAUCUAAGACAAGAGUGUACAUGCUGAAAAGCCUGAAAUGUCUCCCCUACUUUACUAACCAUUGAUAUUAUGUUGAUAGUCCUAAAUAUAAAAUUUUACUACAACUAUCACAUAAACAAAACAUGAUCCAAGACCAGAGUGCACAUGCUGAAAAGCCUGAAUUGUUUUGCAUUCUUUACUAACCAUUGAUUUUAUGUUGAUAGUCCUAAAUAUAAAGUUUAACUACAACUAUCACAUAAACUAAACAUGAUCCAAGAAAAUGGGAUCAAGGUCAAAUAAACCGAACAAGAAAUACAUGAAUCAAACCAGACAGACAUAUACACCUUACAAUCAAUCUAUGCAUUAAAUACAGUUGACCUUCUGUAUAUAGUAUCUAAGAAACAAAUUUUACCACGAAAACUUAACAUUGACCAGUGAGGUCAAGUUCAGAAGAUGCCUACUUAACAAUCCUUUCAUACACUAUUACAGGAAAUAUAGUUGACAGAUUGCAUAUAGUAAAAGAAAAAGAAAAAAAAGCCCAAAACUGGAAGACUUAACUUUGACCAAUGCACAAUGAAAUUUAGGUCAAGGUCAGAUGACACCUGCCAGUCAGACACAUACACCUUACAAUCAUUCCAUACAAUGUAUAUAGUAGACCUAUUGCUUAUAGUAUCUGCGAAAUG
rnacentral:lncRNA from 1 species